rnacentral:rRNA from 1 species
CUGGAGGUAUCAGAAGUGCGAAUGCUGACAUAAGUAACGAUAAAGCGGGUGAAAAGCCCGCUCGCCGGAAGACCAAGGGUUCCUGUCCAACGUUAAUCGGGGCAGGGUGAGUCGACCCCUAAGGCGAGGCCGAAAGGCGUAGUCGAUGGGAAACAGGUUAAUAUUCCUGUACUUGGUGUUACUGCGAAGGGGGGACGGAGAAGGCUAUGUUGGCCGGGCGACGGUUGUCCCGGUUUAAGCGUGUAGGCUGGUUUUCCAGGCAAAUCCGGAAAAUCAAGGCUGAGGCGUGAUGACGAGGCACUACGGUGCUGAAGCAACAAAUGCCCUGCUUCCAGGAAAAGCCUCUAAGCAUCAGGUAACAUCAAAUCGUACCCCAAACCGACACAGGUGGUCAGGUAGAGAAUACCAAGGCGCUUGAGAGAACUCGGGUGAAGGAACUAGGCAAAAUGGUGCCGUAACUUCGGGAGAAGGCACGCUGAUAUGUAGGUGAAGUCCCUCGCGG